GAGUUUGAUCGUGGCUCAGGAUGAACGCUAGCGGCAGGCCUAAUACAUGCAAGUCGAGGGGCAGCAGGGAUAGCAAUAUUCGCUGGCGACCGGCGCACGGGUGCGUAACACGUAUACAAUCUGCCUUUAACAGGGGGAUAGCCCGGAGAAAUCCGGAUUAAUACCCCAUAACAGAUCGAAUGGCAUCAUUUGAUUUUGAAAGCUCCGGCGGUUAAAGAUGAGUAUGCGUCUGAUUAGCUAGUUGGUGAGGUAACGGCUCACCAAGGCGACGAUCAGUAGGGGAUCUGAGAGGAUUAACCCCCACACGGAUACUGAGACACGGAUCCGACUCCUACGGGAGGCAGCAGCAAGGAAUAUUGGACAAUGCCCGCAAGGGUGAUCCAGCCAUGCCGCGUGCAGGAAGACGGCCCUAUGGGUUGUAAACUGCUUUUACACCGGAGAAAACCUUCCCUCGUGAGGGGAGCUGAUAGUAUGGUGAGAAUAAGCAUCGGCUAACUUCGUGCCA
rnacentral:rRNA from 1 species